rnacentral:rRNA from 1 species
AUUGAACGCUGGCGGCAGGCCUAACACAUGCAAGUCGAGCGGAUGAAGGGAGCUUGCUCCUGGAUUCAGCGGCGGACGGGUGAGUAAUGCCUAGGAAUCUGCCUGGUAGUGGGGGAUAACGUCCGGAAACGGGCGCUAAUACCGCAUACGUCCUGAGGGAGAAAGUGGGGGAUCUUCGGACCUCACGCUAUCAGAUGAGCCUAGGUCGGAUUAGCUAGUUGGUGGGGUAAAGGCCUACCAAGGCGACGAUCCGUAACUGGUCUGAGAGGAUGAUCAGUCAACCUGGAACUGGGAACCGGGCCCAGACCCUAAGGGAGGCAGGAGUGGGGAAUUUUGGAACAUGGGCGAAAGCCUGAUCCAGCCAAGCCGGCGGUUUGAAGAAGGUUCUCGGAUUGUAAAGCACUUUAGUUGGGAGGAAGGGCAGUAAGUUAAUACCUUGCUGUUUUGACGUUACCAACAGAAUAAGCACCGGCUAACUUCGUG